rnacentral:RNase_P_RNA from 1 species
CGACUGAACGGGGCAAUCGCGCGGUAUGUUGCCGAAAGGUAUUACCGUGAGGAAAGUCCGGGCAUCAAAGAGCAGGAUAACGGAUAACGUCCGCCCGGGGCAACCCGCGGGAAAGUGCAACAGAAAUAAACCGCCGCUUUUGCGGUAAGGAUGGAAAGGCGAGGUAAGAGCUCACCCGUUUCUAUGGCAACAUAGAUCCGCUGUAAACCCUAUCCGAUGCAACACCUUGAUAUUUCGGGACUACGUCCCGACGAGCUGCUCGUGGCGUUUCAUGGUGGCAGAGCCGUAAGGCUUGAACCGCGCGGUAACGCACGGUGAAGAUAGAUGAUUGCCACGCCGCAAGGCGUACAGAACCCGGCUUAUAAGUUCAGUCAACAC